rnacentral:rRNA from 1 species
UACGUAGGGGGCUAGCGUUGUCCGGAAUCAUUGGGCGUAAAGCGCGUGUAGGCGGCCCGGUAAGUCCGCUGUGAAAGUCGGGGGCUCAACCCUCGAAUGCCGGUGGAUACUGUCGGGCUAGAGUGCGGAAGAGGCGAGUGGAAUUCCUGGUGUAGCGGUGAAAUGCGCAGAUAUCAGGAGGAACACCAAUUGCGAAGGCAGCUCGCUGGGACGUUACUGACGCUGAGACGCGAAAGCGUGGGGAGCAAUCCGG